CGAGCGGACGCAGAUGGAGUGGUCCCUGUGGCGGGGGUCCAUACGACCACAUCAGCCAGGCCCCAUGACAGGCUGCUCCCUUGCUCCAUGUUGUGGGCAUCCCGUGGACUUCCGGUUCACACAAAGGGUUGUACUCGACCACUUCUAGGUUGUCGGUGCCGGAGGACUACUACAGAGGCAAGGACAUGGCCGAUUGGCUCGUUUGCCUUAUGCUUGCUUCCAGUUUCUCUCCCUCCCGCGCCGGAGUCGUUGAGAUUUUGUGCAAGUUGGCAGACAUGGAUUUUAUAGAUGAUGCAGGUAGUUCAUCCACUCCUGGAUAUUAGGAGGACACCUAAAAAACCUCAGUAUACUAAGGCACCAGAGCUUCCAUUGAUAUUACUACUUUACCCAUUUGAUAAACUCAGCUAUGUGUGUUCAUCAGGUAGUUAAUUCGCUCCAGGAUUUUACAAAGCCUCCUACAAAAAACUCAGUAUACUAUGGCACCAGAGUUUCAUUGAUUUUACUAAUUUACCUAUUUGAUAAAGUCAGAUCCAGCAGGUAUGUACUUUGAUAUCUCCGCGCUGAAUGAUGCAUCCAUGGGGGAUUUCAGCUUGCCAAAUACAUCAGCAAGUUGUUCUAGCCAUGACAUUGUAGUUAGCCCAGAACUACCAGAAAUGGCUUAACUCAAUUAUAAAUAAUAUCUACGUUACCAUAGAAAUGAGCCAUACGUUUAUAUGAUGUUGCAGAUCUUCUUGACAAAUUUGGUAGAAGAAGUAUAAAAACUGCCUUCUCACAACUUUUAGUUGUCCUCAACCACCUAUUUCCUAUGCUCCUGUUAUUAUUACUCUUUUUAGCAUAGAUAGAUAAAUGAGCAAGGGAACAUUUAGUUUGGCUUCGAAGGGAUCCAUUAGAGGCUGCGACAAUGCAAACUUUUAUUUUAUCUAAGGAAAAAAAUGCGGAUCAAUGAUUCUUUGCAUCAUAGGUGUUGCUGCUUCAUGAGAUCAACAUUGACAUGGUUCCACAAUUACAAAUAAUGAUUUUGAGAAAUCUGCAUUGUUUGUGUUCCGUGUGCUAUUUAGAUGCUGAGUUAGGUUCUCUUCAUUUUGGUGGAAAAAAUGUUGUUUUGGGAGGUGAUUUCUAGCAAGUGUUGCCUGUUGUAGAAAGGAGCAGCAUAGCUGAAGUCGUCGACUCUUUGCUUAUUAGGUCCCUAUACCAGCAUGUGAUUGUGCUUAGGCUGCCAUAAACACGAGGUUGUCUAAUCAUGCGCUAUCAGAUGAGGAGCAGGCUGGUUCGGAAGAAUUUGCACAGUGGAUUCUUCAUGUUGGUGAGGGAGCAGUACCCAUGGAUAUACGAGAGGGGUAAGCUAGCCCUUCUUGGAUCUCUUUGCCACUUGAUAUAACACAUCGGCCUUUUUCUGAUCAUGUCUUUCUGAGAUGUAUUCCGAUGCAUCUAGUUGGCAUAGCGUGCUCCUACUAAUAAGGUUGCCGGCUGUCUUCUAUCGGUACCUUGAGAAGAAAUAGUUUUCGAAAGUUGUGAUAGUAUGCAAUGACCAUUGACAAAAUUUCAUGGUAAUGCUCUUAACAAGGUUGGCAAUUACUUGCAAAGCCGGCUUUCUCACACGGCCAUUUUUAUGUUGCAAUCUCAAGAGUAACAUUAAGGGAGGGAUUGAAAGUGUUAGCGCUCGAUGAAUCUGGUGAAGCGACCAAGUAAUAUAGUAUACUGAGAAGUGCUUGGUCAUCUCUAGGCGUUGUUAUACACGUGUUUCCAUGUACUACAUUUUUCUGCACUGUCGCAUUUUUUGGUGGAUGUUCGUUUUCUUAUGCUCUUCCAUUCUCUGUAUGUAGAUUAAUUAUUAUUACUUGGACCUGCUGGCUAAUGCUUUUGUUCAUUUUGCUUUUGUUCUCAGGGAUGAAUGCGUAUCUUUUAGUAACUGCUUAUAAGUGCACCGCAUGGUGUACCACUACUGAAACUAUACCAAAAACACUGGAAAUUAAGGUCCUGCAAUUGCACUUAGCUGAUCUAUCCUGGACAUAUAUCCAGACAAAGUGCAAAUGCGUGGUGCUCCAUCUAUUUCUAUAUGUUGUCGCCAUGAUGGAACCCUUUCUGUUUUGGUACUGCUAAGUAAUUGCAGGCGCAAGUUUAGAAGUUGUGUACAAACCUCAGGAGCUAAAGUCGCUUCAUGCAUUUGGUUUAAAUACAAGAAGAGUGGCCAUGGCCAGUUCUUAAAUUUUUUGUAUGUUUUCUAGCGAUAUAAGGAGCAUACGACCAACACUUAGAUUUGUUACAUUUUCAAGCAAUAAGCUGAGAACUGCUUCGUCUGACUGUUUAUUAUGUGAUGUAUGUUAUCUUGCAUAUCUGUAUUGUACAAACAUGUAAAAGGUAGUUUUUUAUGCUUCCUGUUUUUA